rnacentral:rRNA from 1 species
UACGGAGGAUGCAAGCGUUAUCCGGAAUGAUUGGGCGUAAAGCGUCCGCAGGUGGCUGUGUAAGUCUGCUGUCAAAGAGCGAAGCUCAACUUCGUAAAGGCAGUGGAAACUACACGGCUAGAGUGCGUUCGGGGCAGAGGGAAUUCCUGGUGUAGCGGUGAAAUGCGUAGAGAUCAGGAAGAACACCGGUGGCGAAGGCGGCGUUCUGGACUGCAACUGACACUGAUGAACGAAAGCCAGGGGAGCAAACGGG